GACGAACGCUGGCGGCGUGCUUAACACAUGCAAGUCGAACGGAAAGGCCCUGCUUUUGUGGGGUGCUCGAGUUGCGAACGGGUGAGUAACACGUGAGUAACCUGCCCUUGACUUUGGGAUAACUUCAGGAAACUGGGGCUAAUACCGGAUAGGAGCUCCUGCUGCAUGGUGGGGGUGGGAAAGUUUCGGCUGUUGGGGAUGGACUCGCGGCGCAUGAGCUUGUUGGUGGGGUAGUGGCUUACCAAGGCUUGGACGGGUAGCCGGCCUGAGAGGGUGACCGGCCAGGCUGGGACUGAGAUGCGGCCCAGACUCCUACGGGAGGCAGCAGUGGGGAAUAGUGCACUGUGGGCGGACGGCUGAUGCAGCAAAGCCGCGUGCGGGAUGACGGCCUUCGGGUUGUAAAGCGCUUUCGCCUGUGACGAAGCGUGAGUGACGGUAAUGGGUAAAGAAGCACCGGCUAACUACGUG
rnacentral:rRNA from 1 species